UUUCAAACCGUUCUUUGGAAAAUAGAUCAAAUUUGGCCGAGCCGUUGAAUAAAUUGCUCAUAAUCUAACUGAAUUGCAAGGAUUGCGUAAGCCUUUUCAUAGCUGUUUUUAAAUGAUCGAAAUGCCUUUUCUAUUCACUUAACCACUACAUUUUUUAAAACCAAGACACAAAAAACCAAUGAAUAAUUCCCAUAAAACGGCGUGUUCAGAUAUAUAUUUCAGCCCAUUUAUGGUCGGAUAUUGAAUUACGGGGUCGUGAUGUUGAAGCUGUGUGGAACGGGCUUCUCAAAAUCUAUGGCAAUCAGAGUGGAUAUAUCUAACUUGCCGUUGCUCUGCCUGUGUUUGUGGUUAGCUCAAUGCUGGAUCGUAUGACGAGGCUGCCAUUUGGCGGGGUGAUCUAGGGGUGCAGUGCAAAUCUAGAUCGCUUUAUUCUUGAUGGGAUUGUUGGCGCCAUAUCAAUAGCUAUGAACAACAGCAAUUUACUGCUGCUGCCUGUUGCUAAACUUUGAGCUGAGCUUGGCUUUUUUAAUUUUAAUUUCAUAUUCGGUGGGUCAGCCACAUUGUUGCGUUAAUGAAGUGUGUCAAUUGCCCAAUUCUUCUCGCGUAUGCCCUGCUCACUCACUCCUUUCCCUCUUU